rnacentral:lncRNA from 1 species
GAUUUCCUUGACUCCUUGUAGUAGGCAUGCAUCCAUGUAUACCCAACUACAAUAGAAAACAAAAACCUAGAUUCUUUAGCAACUUCAAUGAAUAAUUUAACACUGUAUUCCCUGAUAACGACACCAAAAUUUGAUGUCUCGAAAAACUACACCUCCAAAGAAGUAUGCUCAGUCGAUGUCAAAUACAGUAACCAAACUAGUUUGUGGUCG